GCCUUCGUGGUGUAAUGGUAAGCACACUCGACUCGUAUUCAAGAGGUCCGAGUUUCGAGUCCUGGUGUCGGCA
rnacentral:tRNA from 1 species